rnacentral:lncRNA from 1 species
GCUGCCGCCUCCCCUCGCCCACCUCGACGGCCAUGUUCGUGGGUGGGGAGAGGCCAGCCCGACCCUCGGACGGCGGGACUCGCGGGCUACUUUAGGAGGAAGAGCAAGCUCCAUAACAGACAGAAGUUUAAAUUGUCAUUCCCAACUGCUAAUCAGGAAGCGGAAGUUAAACUCUUAGCAAAAUGGCAGCACCUGGAAAGACAAAUGGAGCCAAACUACCUGGGUUCAAAUCCUGACUCCACCACACGCUACGGUUACCAAUGAUCCUGAUCUGCCCAAGGCUGAGGAGUUUCCCAGGAUAUGGGACUUUCACUGCUAAAACCAGGAUAGUCCCAUGCAAAGCAGCAUGGCUGAUCACCCUACUUGCUGCCAUGAGACUACCACCAUCCUCGAGGAUGAUAGAUCCCAAGGAGAGAGUGACCCAGUCAACAUCCAGCCCCAUCAGCAUGUGACUUAUCCAGCCCCAGUCCAGUCACCAGAUAAUAGCAAAUGCAUGAGUUAAUUCAGGUGAGACCAUCAGAACGAUCUAGCUGAACUUGUCUCAAAUUGCUGUCCUCUGUUGGAGUUUUUCUGCACAUAAAAAAUAAAAUUGCUGUCCUACAUAACUGUAAACAAGCAAAA